rnacentral:rRNA from 1 species
CCUACGGGUGGCAGCAGUGAGGAAUUUUCCGCAAUGGGCGAAAGCCUGACGGAGCAAUGCCGCGUGGAGGAAGACGGCCCGUGGGUUGUAAACUCCUUUUCUCAGAGAAGCGGUAUCUGAGGAAUAAGCAUCGGCUAACUCCGUGCCAGCAGCCGCGGUAAUACGGAGGAUGCAAGCGUUAUCCGGAAUCAUUGGGCGUAAAGGGUCCUGAGGUGGUUUGCCCAGUCUACUGUGAAAGAUCAGGGCUCAACCCUGAAAAUGCGGUGGAAACUAGCAGGCUAGAAUACGGUAGGGGCAGGGGGAAUUCCCGGUGUAGCGGUGAAAUGCAUAGAUAUCGGGAAGAACACCAAUGGCGAAAGCACCCUGCUGGGCCGAAUUGACACUGCAGACGAAAGCUAGGGGAGCAAAUGGGAUUAGAUACCCUUGUAGUC